rnacentral:pre_miRNA from 1 species
ACAACAUGUGGACCGACGGUCUACCGAGAAUUAUCACCAGCUCGAUGGAAGAUCUUCCCUUUAUCGU